UACGUAGGGGGGCAAGCGUUGUCCGGAUUCAUUGGGCGUAAAGAGCGCGCAGGCGGCUUGGCAAGUCGGGUGUGAAAUCCCGGGGCUCAACCCCGGGACUGCAUUCGAUACUGUCAGGCUAGAGGUAGGUAGGGGAGAUCGGAAUUCCUGGUGUAGCGGUGAAAUGCGCAGAUAUCGGGAGGAACACCUAUGGCGAAGGCAGCUCGCUGGGACGUUACUGACGCUGAGACGCGAAAGCGUGGGGAGCAAACAGG
rnacentral:rRNA from 1 species